GAACAGCGUCGAGACCGCCAAACUGAUCUGGUCUCGGCUGGCCAACGCCGAAGAUGGCAGUGACGCUGAGGGUGAUGAGGAUGGGGUUUUGAGAAGCGAGGGUUUUGAUGCUGUUGAGAGUCUUGAUUAUGAAGUUAUCGAGAAUUACGCCUAUCGCCAAGAACAGGCGCGAAGAGGAAAGCUAUAUGUUUGGUACAACGUGGGGGUGAAGUGGUUCUUUGCUUUGCUAAUUGGCAUAGGU